CGGCGAUGAGGAGACCCUACUGUGUUGAAUUGCAGUGAUGUUUCCUAUACGCUAUUCUGAGCCGAUG